UAGCGGCGCGCUUAAUGCAUGCAAGUCGAGCGAUGAGGUCCUGCUUGCAGGACACAUCAGCGGCAGACGGGUGAGUAACACGUAAGUGACCUACCCCGAAGACGAGGAUAACGGGUGGAAACAUCCGCUAAUACUGGAUAGACUCUGGGGGUCGCACCGCAGAGUAAAGCUUCGGCGCUUCGGGAGGGGCUUGCGGCCUAUCAGCUAGUUGGUAGGGUAACGGCCUACCAAGGCAAAGACGGGUAGGGGGUGUGAGAGCACGACCCCCCACAAUGGCACUGAGACACGGGCCAUACUCCUACGGGAGGCAGCAGCAGGGAAUAUUGCACAAUGGACGGAAGUCUGAUGCAGCGACGCCGCGUGGAUGAUGAAGGCCCUCGGGUCGUAAAAUCCUUUUCAGGGGGACGAGGCAGGACGGUACCCUUGGAAUAAGCGUCGGCUAACUACGUGCCAGCAGCCGCGGUAAGACGUAGGACGCAAGCGUUAUCCGGAUUUACUGGGCGUAAAGCGUCUGUAGGCGGAUGGGUAAGUUGGGCGUGAAAAGCUCCGUGCUCAACGCGGAGAGGUCGUUCAAUACUGCCGAUCUGGAGGUCAUCAGAGGGGCGUGGAAUUUCCGGUGUAGCGGUAAAAUGCGCAGAUAUCGGAAGGAACACCAGUGGCGAAAGCGGCUGCCUGGGGUGGACCUGACGCUGAGAGACGAAAGCUAGGGAGCGAACAGGAUUAGAGAACCCUGUUAGUCCUAGC
rnacentral:rRNA from 1 species